UUGGCCAGGCUGGUCUCGAACUCCUGACCUCAAAUGAUCCACCCUCCUCGGCCUCCCAAAGUGCUAGGAUUACAGGCAUAAGCCACUGCGCACAGCCAAAAGAUUUUUCUAAAAUUAUGGCUGUGGAGGUGUGGAGUCACUGGUAGCAGGAGCAAGAGGUGUAGACUUGAUCACACAGUGUUGGCAAUAGCCAGUGGAGACCUGGGUCCCAGGUCCUGCCUCCCCACCCUCUACCUCCACCCCCAGUGGCUCAAGUGAUCCUCCUGCCUCAGCCUCCUGAGUAGCUGGGAUUACAGGCGUUACCUGUGGUUGUCCAGGUUCUUGGCGUUUUGAACAAAGAAUUGGACAAAAUGCACAGCAAAGCAAGGAUAGAAUGAGGCAGACGUUGAUUGAAAAUGAAAGUACACUCCACAGGCUGGGGGCGCCCAAGCAGCAGCUCGAGGGUCGUGGUUACAGAAUCUUCUGGGGUCCAGUACCCCUUAGAGGUUCUCCAUUGGCCACUU
rnacentral:lncRNA from 1 species